rnacentral:misc_RNA from 1 species
AGUUUUAUUGCAUGGAGAAAGGAGUCUUUCAUGGUCUCAGAGGAAGUACCAAAAGGGUAUUCAGCUGUUCCAAAACCUAAGAGAGGAAUGGUUUUGUCACUUGAAACUAGGACCGUCACUGGAAUGCUCCCCAUUUUCUCUAGCCUAGCCUAGUUUCCUAUUCGUUCCUUUUCUUUGCUUGUGUAUUUAUGCUGAGAAAC